rnacentral:lncRNA from 1 species
CCCGGUUCCCGGAUAGCGCUUCACUCGAACCCUCCACCGAGGUGCCAGAGUGCCGGGCCGCCCCCUCCCCUGAAAGCAGCCGAGGUAUGCAGCCCUUCCGCAGAACGGCCGUGUCCGGUUCUGGAAAGGAGCAGUGCUCACGUCGGCCCAGGGCCAGAUGGCUUGAGUUAAGCCUAAAGGCAGAUCCUGUAUCUCUUACAGGAUAUCUAGUUAGGCCACAGCACAAAUUGCUGACGCUUUCUCCCAAUUAUCUCCGCACUAAUCCAAGGUCUUUCUUGCACCCUAGGGCACGCCUGGAUGGCCUGUGGCCCACACAGCUCCCAGAGAACAACACCGGUGUGCACGUUUCACAGCCCCGGGUCCGAAACCUCAGGGCCUUCAGGGGCUCCUGAGUUGGUCUUCUCUUCCAGAAAAAAGCCAACCAAAACAAAAACCAACAGGGCUUUCCACCUUUGGGUCGCCGGAUCUUGUGGCUGCUUUUUGUUUUCCGGGAAAACCCAAAUGACCGCUCCACGGCCCCAUGGGAAUCCUUGGAAAGCAGCUCGGAAGUCCUCGCGACUCCAGCUGUCACCUCGACUGUGGAGACAGGAGAGACACGUUUGGGUGUGGUGGGGCCGUGAGAUCGAGGGCCAGUCCUGGUCAAUUCCCCCGCGAGCGUUAGAGCCCGCUCUAAAGGUCAGCCUAGCCUCGAGGCCGUUCGUCCCUCUGACUUCAAAGCGGGGAAGUGAGUUUAGCCAAACUCCCAGGGUCCUUUCCGACUCGGAACCCUCCGAGGGCUGGCAGCGAUCUAACUUGUCCCACGCUGCCGGAAUUCCUCGGGAAAUGUAUGAAGGGGCCCCUCCGCUGAGCGGGAGGGAGGUUUGUGGUGGAGGUCUCGGCCACUCUUUGAGGGUGCAGGGCCCCCUUUCUUCAGUCAUUUCAGGUGGAGCAGAGCCACUGUCUUCCUCCGCCGCCGGGAGAGCAGCUGGCGGAGGUGGGGCGGGGUGCUUAGGGAGGAGGUUAGAGACAAAUCCCCCGGAGCACACACUCCUCCGGAAGGAAAGGAGAAAAUGGAGGGGCUGGGAGGGCAUUAUUAGCCUAGCUUUUCAAAUCCAAUUCAGAAUCAGCUCCGAGUCUCAUCUGAAG